rnacentral:rRNA from 1 species
ACUGCUCAGUAACACGUGGACAACCUGCCCUUAGGACGGGGAUAAACCCGGGAAACUGGGUAUAAUACCCGAUAGGUCUCGAGUGCUGGAAUGCAUCGAGAUCUAAAGCUCCGGCGCCUAAGGAUGGGUCUGCGGCCUAUCAGGUAGUAGUGGGUGUAGUGUACCUACUAGCCUACGACGGGUACGGGUUGUGAGAGCAAGAGCCCGGAGAUGGAUUCUGAGACACGAAUCCAGGCCCUACGGGGUGCAGCAGGCGCGAAAACUUUACAAUGCUGGCAACAGCGAUAAGGGAACCUCGAGUGCCAGGUUACAAAUCUGGCUGUCGUGAUGCCUAAAAAGCAUUGCAUAGCAAGGGCCGGGCAAGACCGGUGCCAGCCGCCGCGGUAACACCGGCGGCUCGAGUGGUAACCGUUAUUAUUGGGUCUAAAGGGUCUGUAGCCGGCCGGAUAAGUCUCUUGAGAAAUCUGGCAGCUUAACUGUCAGGCUUUCAGGAGAUACUGUCUGGCUCGAGGCCGGGAGAGGUGAGAGGUACUUCAGGGGUAGGGGUGAAAUCUUGUAAUCCUUGAAGGACCACCAGUGGCGAAGGCGUCUCACCAGAACGGACCUGACGGCAAGGGACGAAAGCUAGGGGCACGAACCGGAUUAGAUACCCGGGUAGUCCUAGCCGUAAACGAUACUCGCUAGGUGUCGGCCACGGUGCGACCGUUGUCGGUGCCGUAGGGAAGCCGUGAAGCGAGCCACCUGGGAAGUACGGCCGCAAGGCUGAAACUUAAAGGAAUUGGCGGGGGAGCACCACAACGGGUGGAGCUUGCGGUUUAAUUGGAUUCAACGCCGGAAAUCUUACCGGGACCGACAGCAAUAUGAAGGCCAGGCUGAAGACUUUGCCGGAUUAGCUGAGAGGUGGUGCAUGGCCGUCGUCAGUUCGUACUGUGAAGCAUCCUGUUAAGUCAGGCAACGAGCGAGACCCCUGCC